rnacentral:rRNA from 1 species
CCCUUAGAUGUCCGGGGCCGCACGCGCGCUACACUGAAGGAAUCAGCGUGGCUUUCUCCCUGACCCGAAAGGGUUGGGAAACCCGUUGAAUCUCCUUCGUGAUAGGGAUUGGGGCUUGAAAUUGUUCCCCAUGAACGAGGAAUUCCCAGUAAGCGCGAGUCAUAAGCUCGCGUUGAUUACGUCCCUGCCCUUUGUACACACCGCCCGUCGCUACUACCGAUUGAACGGUUUAGUGAGGGCCUCGGAUUGGUCUCGGCCCGCUCUUCACCGGGCGGCGCCGUUGGUCGAGAAGACGCUCGAACUUGAUCGUUUAGAGGAAGUAAAAGCCGUAACA